UAAGAAACCUUUGCCGUUUGUGCAGUUUUUCAUUGAGAAUAAUUUGUAUUUUGUAAAAGACAUGUUUAUCAAUUUUUAAUGUAACUAUAAUAAUAAUAACAAUGUAUAAUGCAGGUUGUUAACCAGCAGUUUGUUAAUGGUUUAUAAUUAAAAUUUAAUAUGGCUGGCGGUAAAGGUAAAGAGAAGUUUAAAGGAACAAACAUUAGAGAGCGUUUUGUCAAUUAAAGUGACUGCUACAGUUGCCGAAAUAAGAAAAGGAAUAAUGACUUUAAUAAAAUACGCGCUCGACAGAUCAAAUGGUGGUGGUUGGCGCGUAAAAGGCGAUUCACCCGAUGUAUAAUAUUCAUACUUUUUUCUAGUUGUUCUGGAACUAUUGAUAAUAGUUAUUAUUGAUAAAUUGAUAAAUAUAUUACUGAUAAAUAAAA